rnacentral:lncRNA from 1 species
AUUGAUUAUGUGACCUAUGCAAUACAAAUUAUGGGAAUGGGCAGCUUUGGAGUAUAUAUCCCAUAAUUCUUUUUUCAGGAAUAGUUGCAGUAUUUACACAGCAGCAUUUCUUCUCAGGCUUUUAUUGGGUGCUGUUGCUUGCUAUGUAUGAAGAGAAAUGUGUCAAACAAGUUUAGUGUGUUCUGAAGAAGGGUGUGAACAACAGUGUUCAUGGGCUUUUUCGAAUGCUUUUCAUUAUCAGUCCUUGUAACUCAGCUGUUCAGUACCUAAAACAAAUUCAAAUAGUAUGAACAUUAUCUCCUACUAGAAGUAACGUUUUCAAAUUUUCAUGGCACAUUAUGAUUGUAAAUGUCUCUCAGUUUUAACAGUAAGUCUGUAGGAAUCCCGUGAAGAUUCCUGAAAUGUCUGUAGUAACUGUUAGUCAUGUUGAAUAAGUGUAGUAUGAACAAAGUAUUUUAUUGCACAGGGUUAACAAACAGUGUUGCCUGCGAGGCAGCUGCUGUUUUAUUACAACAUUACCUCUUGUUUUUAUGAAAUGUACCAAGAUUUAAAUUGAUAACUUUAUUUUACAUGUGUUUAAAAAAAAAAAACAAAAACAGUUUCUUUUAUCACCAGUGUUAGAGUUGUCUUCUGUUUCUUUUUGUUUUGUUUAUUUGUUUUAUUUUUUAGCCAAAGAGUAAACAGAAGAAUAUUCUUAUUUUGGUGGCUAUUCAUUUUACUCUUAAAAGUGAUUGAUGGAUUUUAGCCUAAAAAUUGGAGAGUUUGCCACCAAAAUGAAAAAUAUGUAAAGUGUAGUGAUUACAGAGCGGUUAAAAAUGUGGGUUAGUGCUUAUUUAUUCCAUUGAUUGAUUAUUUGACUGUUUAUAAGAAAGUUGCUUUAUUUCUUUAAACAUCUUCAAAAGAUGACCUUUUCUUGUCACAUUAUAGCCAAAAGAAGCAGAGAACUUCGUAGUCCUGCAUUUGGUUCCCUGGUUGGCCAGGUAUAAAUGAGCUUUACAAAAGUGCAAAUUAAGAACUGUCACUUCUGUUUACCUCCACCAAAACUUGAUUUUCCCCUAGCUAUUAAUUUAAAGUUGCCUUUCCUGCAGCUGCAAUAUUUUGAAUACACACAAGAGUUUGUGUUGAUUUUGAAUGUUUGUUUAUAUCUAGGGGUAAUGGAAAAUGUAAAUCCGGUGUAACCUUAUUCACUCCACCUGUAUCAUAUUAUUUCAUUUUCCCCAAAGUCCUUUAAUUCUAACUGAACACCAGCAGUAUUUUUAGUAAUUCUUUCUUUAGCAUACUUGGAAGAUGAUUUAUUAAGCUGAACUGUCUUUAGACGUAAUUAUUGUGAAUGUCUGUUUUAUUUUAUCAUGGUGGUUCACAUGGCUCUGAUGUUCAGUUUGUAUUUUUGGAAUUGCUUUACUUAGAAUUAAAACAGACGAACAUUAAA